AUUGAACGCUGGCGGCAGGCCUAACACAUGCAAGUCGAACGAGUGGCGGACGGGUGAGUAAUGUCUGGGAAACUGCCCGAUGGAGGGGGAUAACUACUGGAAACGGUAGCUAAUACCGCAUACCAUCGGAUGUGCCCAGAUGGGAUUAGCUAGGAGGUGGGGUAACGGCUCACCUAGGCGACGAUCCCUAGCUGGUCUGAGAGGAUGACCAGCCCACCUGGAACUGGGUCACGGUCCAAGCUCCUACGGGAGGCAGCAGUGGGGAAUAUUGCACAAUGGGGGAAAGCCGGAUGCAGCCAUGCCGGUUGUAUGAAGAAGGCCUUCGGGUUGUAAAGUACUUUCAGCGAGGAGGCGUUACUCGCAGAAGAAGCACCGGCUAACUCCGUGCCAGCAGCCGCGGUAAUAC
rnacentral:rRNA from 1 species